rnacentral:rRNA from 1 species
UACGGGGGGGGCAAGCGUUGUUCGGAAUUACUGGGCGUAAAGGGCUCGUAGGCGGCCAACUAAGUCAGACGUGAAAUCCCUCAGCUUAACUGGGGAACUGCGUCUGAUACUGGAUGGCUUGGAUUCGGGAGAGGAAUGCGGAAUUCCAGGUGUAGCGGUGAAAUGCGUAGAUAUCUGGAGGAACACCUGCGGCGAAGGCGGGUUGCUGGGCUGACACUGACGCUGAUGCGCGAAAGCCAGGGGAGCGAACGGG